AAUAGAUACCCGUGGUAGUCCACGCCGUAAACGGUGGGCGCUAGGUGUGGGGGACUUUCCACGUCCGUCUGUGCCGCAGCUAACGCAUUAAGCGCCCCGCCUGGGGAGUACGGCCGCAAGGCUAAAACUCAAAGGAAUUGACGGGGUCCCCGCACAAGCGGCGGAGCAUGCGGCUUAAUUCGAUGCAACCCGAAGAACCUUACCUGGGUUUGACAUCAUGGGAAAAGCCGUGGAAACACGGUGUCCGUAAGGGCCCAUGACAGGUGGUGCAUGGCUGUCGUCAGCUCGUGUCGUGAGAUGUUGGGUUAAGUCCCGCAACGAGCGCAACCCUUGUCCUAUGUUGCCAGCGGUUUCGGCCCGGGGACUCAUAGGAGACUGCCGGGGAUAACUCGGAGGAAGGUGAGGACGAUGUCAAGUCAUCAUGCCCCUUAUAUCCGAGGGCUGCACGCAUGCUACAAUGGUCGGUACAACGGGCAGCGAUCCUGCGAAGGUGAGCGAAUCCCGACAAAGCCGGCUCAGUUCGGAUUGGAGUCUGCAACG
rnacentral:rRNA from 1 species